AUGGCCAGCUUCCCAGGGGCCGGAGGCUACGACGCCAUGGCGGGAUCCGGCGAUGACGAGGACAAGGAGGCCAUGAAGAGCCUCUUCACCGGCGCGGCCCCUGCCCCCGCGGAGGAGGAGGAGGAGGUCGAUGAGGGGUACGCCGUCGUGGUGAUGAAGGCGGGGGAGGAGAGGGGGAUCGGGAAGGAGGGGUUGCGGAAGAGGCUGGUCAGGGAGGGGGAGGGGCCACAGCUCCCCGGCACCGGCGACGAGGUCGAAGUGCACUACACGAGGACGCUGGCGGACGGCACCAAGUUCGACUCCAGCCGGGAUCACGACGCCCCGUUCAGGUUCACCCUCGACCGAGAUUUUGUCAUAGUUGAUGGUGUGAGGACUUAUAAUGUGAUAAAGUUCAUUGAUGAUAGCCAAGGGUUCAUGCUCGGAAACGACUACAUCUUGCUCCAUGUUGUCGGCUCAGCUAAAGUCCUUAAUCAUGAGGAGAUGGGACACGUCGAUUGUUAG
rnacentral:rRNA from 1 species